UCCCUGGCAGUCCAGUGGUUACGACUCGGCACUCCCAAUGCAGGGGGCACAGGUACAAUCCCUGGUCAGGGAA
rnacentral:tRNA from 1 species